UUAGAUACCCUGGUAGUCCACACAGUAAACGAUGAAUACUCGCUGUUGGCGAUACAAUGUCAGCGGCCAAGCGAAAGCAUUAAGUAUUCCACCUGGGGAGUACGCCGGCAACGGUGAAACUCAAAGGAAUUGACGGGGGCCCGCACAGGCGGAGGAACAUGUGGUUUAAUUCGAUGAUACGCGAGGAACCUUACCCGGGCUUAAAUUGCAACUGACGGACUUGGAAACAGGUCUUUCUUCGGACAGUUGUGAAGGUGCUGCAUGGUUGUCGUCAGCUCGUGCCGUGAGGUGUCGGCUUAAGUGCCAUAACGAGCGCAACCCUUACCGACAGUUACCAUCAGGUAACGCUGGGGACUCUGUCGGGACUGCCGUCGUAAGAUGUGAGGAAGGUGGGNGAUGACGUCAAAUCAGCACGGCCCUUACGUCCGGGGCUACACACGUGUUACAAUGGGGGGUACAGAAGGCAGCUACACGGCGACGUGAUGCUAAUCCCAAAAGCCUCUCUCAGUUCGGAUUGGAGUCUGCAACCCGACUCCAUGAAGCUGGAUUCGCUAGUAAUCGCGCAUCANCCACGGGCGCGGUGAAUACGUUCCCGGGCCUUGUACACACCGCCCGUCAACCAUGAAGCCCGGGGUACCUGAGUGCCUACCGCAGGACCCCCUAGGUAAACUGGGAUUGGGCUAAUCCUACAGGUAACCAAUUCACCACUGGCGCGUACUAUGGAUCGACUUCGACAACCUGCUUACCUGCAUACUGG
rnacentral:rRNA from 1 species